rnacentral:tRNA from 1 species
GCGAGUGUAGUAUAAUGGUAGUACGUGACCUUCCCAAGGUUAAAGCGAGGGUUCAAUUCCCUUCACUCGCU